CUCGGACCAGAUGGCCUGAAAGGAGCCAAUAAAAAUAAAACGAGGAAAUAACGCUUCUGCGUUUUGCCGCAGGUCAAGUUCUAAGCGUGUUGUUUUUUAUCGGGAAUCAGAAUAAAAGAUAUGCACUUCUAGCCUACUAGCACAUGCAGCAGAGCCUGUCAGAACCACGUCCAUUAAAUGGAUCGAUAACAUCGGAAGCAGGAGGUCAUGCGCACAAACUUUACAUGGACCAUAAAAGUCUGCUGACUCAUCUCUUCUGCAAACCACACAACAUUGUUCUCUUCUAUUAUGGAUUUAUAACGCGUUUAACAUGGACACCUUAAGCACUUUCUCACUGUGGACUUUUGUCCUCUGCAUGGAUUUUGUUAAAGGUUAUUCUCAGGAAGCUCCAACAAAGCAAAUAGUGGCUCUGCUGGGUGAUGACGUUGUUUUACCCUGUUUCCUGAAAUCUCCCGUGGACACUUCAAACCUGCAGCUGGAGUGGGCGAGAACUGACCUGACACCAGGAUUUAUAUAUGUGAGGG